UUCCACGGCUGGCUAGCUCCUGUGCCACCUGUGGCAGAUGGCUUGCAAAGCAAAGAUCAUUUCUGUGUACAGCUGCAGAGAAUCCUGUUUGCAACAGUGGAAAUGUCCUAAGCUAGCCUCAUCUGGUUGUCAAGCUCUUGAAAUGUGGCACUAACACCCUCUAAAAAGAAUUCAAAUGAUCUCAAGUCACCAGUGACCAUCACACCCCUUCUGAGCAUCAGUUCCCCAAGAGGAAGGGGCAGAGGCACUGCUUCUACAUCACUAGAUGACUGCAACCUCAGAUGCCUUACGUAACACAUGAGGCACAGAACCUGGUACAGAUGUUAUCCAGGAGGAGGCCUGGCUUACCACCUUGCAUGACGAAGUUCACACUUGGCUCUGGGCUUCUCCAGGUACUGUAGUAGACUGGCUUCCAAGUCUAGGCUGUGCCACCUCUGGAAGAUCAGUUCUCUCUUUAUUACCAACUCAGCAGGCUUAUCUGUUAUCUCCUGUCAUCUAGGACACUAUGACCAAACCUCUUAAACACCUGUGUGGACCUCUAAGAUACAGACAUACUACCCCAAGUAUUCCUAAUACCCUACUAGGAGUCACAACACCGAGCAGGGUACCUUGACCAAGAUCAGGUGGCCCAAACAUUUCCAUAAGUGGAAUGGAGUCUCUGAGGAGCAACAGCUCUGUGAAUCUGGCCCCAGGCAUCAUCCCCACACCAGAUAGGACAGGUAUCUGUAUUUAAAAUUUAUUACAAAAUUAUAAAGCAGAGCUCUGUAACAAAAAAAAAUACACAUUUGGGUUUACUUUUUAACAUCCAGGUGAGAAAAUCUUAAUAUAAGCAACUUGGAGCAACACAUUCACAUCCAAGAGAUUUUUUAAACAAAUUUGUACAAUAUAGACUAUUAAUUCCUUUACAGCUUAUUAGUUUAGAACCGGCUAUUCCAACCUACAAACCAGUCAGCUGUUUGUCUUUUAAAACUAAGUCUCAAUUGAAAUCUUGGUGCAAUCACAGCGAAGUCCACAGAAUAGUUGGGAGGAUUAGGUGUUUCCAUGUUAAUUAAGACCAAGGAUCCGUGAUGAACAGAAAGGGGCUCAAGUACUUAAAACAAAAAAACAACAAAAAAAAAAAAAAAUCAGGUUUUCUACCUGGGGUGAAUAUUAACUGGAAUGGAAUCUUAGGAUUCCAACUUUCAUUUGGUGUAACAAUAAAAAAGUUGUUUGACA